rnacentral:rRNA from 1 species
AGAGACAGCAGUCGCCGCGGGAAUACGUAGGUGGCAAGCGUUGUCCGGAUUUAUUGGGCGUAAAGCGAGCGCAGGCGGUUUCUUAAGUCUGAUGUGAAAGCCCCCGGCUCAACCGGGGAGGGUCAUUGGAAACUGGGAAACUUGAGUGCAGAAGAGGAGAGUGGAAUUCCAUGUGUAGCGGUGAAAUGCGUAGAUAUAUGGAGGAACACCAGUGGCGAAGGCGGCUCUCUGGUCUGUAACUGACGCUGAGGCUCGAAAGCGUGGGGAGCAAACAGGAUUAGAUACCCCCGUAGUCCCUGUCUCUUAUAC